rnacentral:antisense_RNA from 1 species
CUUCAGCGAACCCAGCCACAGCGGACGCUGCGGCGAGUGGUCCUGCCCGUAGGUGGCGAGCAGCGCCCCCGCCUC